rnacentral:lncRNA from 1 species
GAAGAUCUCUCCCAAGAGGUAAUGCCUACAACUCUGAAAAUUUCAGAUUCAUAAUCGGGCUAGGAUUAAGGUGCUACCUUUUAUUGCAUGCUUAGAAGUGAGGUUUAUUUCUUGCUACCUUCAAAUUAAUUGUUAAGAUUGUGGGAGGGCACAUUAGAAGUUUCUUUUGCAUGCAAUUGGUGCUUAAAUUUCUGCGACAUAUCAUUUUUUCUUGCAAGAGGGUGUGAGCACUUUUCUUGUAAAGGUUUGGUUGAUCUUUGCUGUGUUAACCCAUGGAUGCUCAAGAGGGAGGCUAUUGGUAGUACCUCGAGCUAUUUGGCCCAACCAUUUUGCCGUUGGGUAUAUUAGGAGCGGCAUAAAGGGAGGCUACCGGUAGUAUCUUGUGCUCCUUCCCCAACUACAGUGAUUUGGGAACUGGCAUUAUGUCAAACAACCUAGUGGGUUGUGAGGUUCUUCUUGCUUGUAAUCUUUUGUUGUAAUCGGAGGAGAUUAAGUGUUGCACAACCCAUUUUUAUAAAGAGAAG